GGGCCCGCACAAGCAGUGGAGUAUGUGGUUUAAUUCGAAGCAACGCGAAGAACCUUACCAGGUCUUGACAUCGUGUGCAUAGCGUGGAGACACGUGAAGCCCUUCGGGGCACACAGACAGGUGGUGCAUGGUUGUCGUCAGCUCGUGUCGUGAGAUGUUGGGUUAAGUCCCGCAACGAGCGCAACCCUUACGAUUAGUUACUACGAAAGAGGACUCUAAUAGGACUGCCGUUGACAAAACGGAGGAAGGUGGGGAUGACGUCAAAUCAUCAUGCCCUUUAUGACCUGGGCUACACACGUACUACAAUGAUGGUCAACAGAGGGAAGCUAAGCCGCGAGGUGGAGCGAACCCCUAAAAGCCAUCUCAGUUCGGAUCGCAGGCUGCAACCCGCCUGCGUGAAGCUGGAAUUGCUAGUAAUCGCGGAUCAGCAUGCCGCGGUGAAUACGUUCCCGGGCCUU
rnacentral:rRNA from 1 species